rnacentral:rRNA from 1 species
AGUGAACGCUGGCGGUAGGCCUAACACAUGCAAGUCGAACGGCAGCACAGUAAGAGCUUGCUCUUACGGGUGGCGAGUGGCGGACGGGUGAGGAAUACAUCGGAAUCUACUUUUUCGUGGGGGUUAAGGAAGGGAAACUUACGCUAAUACCGCAUACGACCUACGGUUGAAAGCAGGGGAUCUUCGGACCUUGCGGGAUUGAAUGAGCGGAUGUCGGAUUAGCUAGUUGGCGGGGUAAAGGCCCACCAAGGCGACGAUCCGUAGCUGGUCUGAGAGGAUGAUCAGCCACACUGGAACUGAGACACGGUCCAGACUCCUACGGGAGGCAGCAGUGGGGAAUAUUGGACAAUGGGCGCAAGCCUGAUCCAGCCAUACCGCGUGGGUGAAGAAGGCCUUCGGGUUGUAAAGCCCUUUUGUUGGGAAAGAAAAGCAGCAGGUUAAUACCCCGCUGUUCUGACGGUACCCAAAGAAUAAGCACCGGCUAACUUCGUG